rnacentral:rRNA from 1 species
GAUGAACGCUGGCGGCGUGCCUAAUACAUGCAAGUCGAGCGAACGGACGAGAAGCUUGCUUCUCUGAUGUUAGCGGCGGACGGGUGAGUAACACGUGGAUAACCUACCUAUAAGACUGGGAUAACUUCGGGAAACCGGAGCUAAUACCGGAUGAUAUUUUGAACCGCAUGGUUCAAAAGUGAAGGACGGUCUUGCUGUCACUUAUAGAUGGAUCCGCGCUGCAUUAGCUAGUUGGUAAGGUAACGGCUUACCAAGGCAACGAUGCAUAGCCGACCUGAGAGGGUGAUCGGCCACACUGGAACUGAGACACAGUCCAGACUCCUACGGGAGGCAGCAGUAGGGAAUCUUCCGCAAUGGGCGAAAGCCUGACGGAGCAACGCCGCGUGAGUGAUGAAGGUCUUCGGUUCGUAAAACUCUGUUAUUAGGGAGGAACAUAUGUGUAAGUAACUGUGCACAUCUUGACGGUACCUAAUCAGAAAGCCACGGCUAACUACGUG